CGCGGUCGGGAACCUCGCCCACGGUUCCGGGGAUACCAGUUAGGAAACGACUAGUUAACUACCGCAUAAGCGCACGGAAGGACAUCCUUUUUGUGUGAAAAAACUGAGGUGGAAUGGGAUGGCCCCGCGUCUGAUUAGCCAGUUGGCAGGGUAACGGCCUACCAAAGCGACGAUCAGUAGCCGGCCUGAGAGGGCGACCGGCCACAUUGGGACUGAGACACGGCCCAAACUCCUACGGGAGGCAGCAGUGGGGAAUAUUGCACAAUGGGGGAAACCCUGAUGCAGCCGACGCCGCGUGAGUGAAGAAGUAUUUCGGUAUGUAAAGCUCUAUCAGCAGGGAAGAAGAUGACGGUACCUGCACAAGAAGCCCCGGCUAACUACGUGCCAGCCGCCGC
rnacentral:rRNA from 1 species